rnacentral:rRNA from 1 species
AUUGAACGCUGGCGGCAUGCUUUACACAUGCAAGUCGAACGGUAACAGGUUAAGCUGACGAGUGGCGAACGGGUGAGUAAUGCAUCGGAACGUGCCCGAUCGUGGGGGAUAACGCAGCGAAAGCUGCGCUAAUACCGCAUACGAUCUGAGGAUGAAAGCGGGGGACCGUAAGGCCUCGCGCGAUCGGAGCGGCCGAUGUCAGAUUAGGUAGUUGGUGGGGUAAAGGCUCACCAAGCCAACGAUCUGUAGCUGGUCUGAGAGGACGACCAGCCACACGGGGGCGGAGACAGGGCCCAGACUCCUACGGGAGGCAGCAGUGGGGAAUUGUGGACGAUGGGCGAAAGCCGGAUCCAGCAAUGCCGCGUGCAGGAAGAAGGCCUUCGGGUUGUAAACUGCUUUUGUACGGAGCGAAAAGGCUCUCUCUAAUACAGGGGGCUCAUGACGGUACCGUAAGAAUAAGCACCGGCUAACUACGUGCCAGCCGCCGCGGUAA